CCUAGGAAGGGGCAAGGGUCACUACAAUGUUAAUUGGUGUCUGCAGAUCAGACCCAUUUUUCUAUAGUGAAUAAUUUAAAAACAAUGUCAUUCAUUAAAUGAACCAAUGCCCUUGACUUCUUAAAAGAGGUGAAGGGAAUUAAUCACAGUAAGUUCUCUGAACAUAAAAAUUAACUAAGUUUAUAGUGCUGGAACUGAUGUGUGUGCGAUAACAGUACAUUAUAUUUGAAAGGAUGACCAGAAGACAGCAGCAGGAAUUAAACUAAAGCCAAGAAACUGAGCACAGCUCCUUGGACAAAUCUUAAUCUUGGCUGAUGCCAUAUCUGGUGGGGGUGAGCUGAAGUGUACUUCACUGUGCAUAGAGAGAGAAACCUGCUUUUGAAACUCCUUCCAGAAGCAUACUAUCUUUUCGUAAGUGGGAAAUGUCUUGUGUUUUGCCUUGUGUUUCUUGUUUGAUGGCAUGCCUGGGUCUUCUUUCUUAUUUUUACCUUGUCUGCAGAUUUUUCCACCACAAAGAGAGCUCCCAGAUGAUUAUGCACUCUUCUGCCCAGUGAACAAAAGGAAGCAUAAUCUGGACUAACUACAGGUUGAAUAUCCCAGGUUCUUCUCAGGUUAUGGUUGGCUGAGCUAUACUUAUUGAACACCUGCUGUAAAUAACCAUCAUGAAGAUGAAGCCUUGUAGGUUCCAAUUGUGGUUUACCCACAGAGUGUUCUGGGCAAAUCACUCUGUGAUUCUGUUUUCCGUGUCAUUAAAAGAGGAGAGUAUUACCACCCUCCUAAAAUGGGUAUUGUGAGGAUUAAAUGGAAACAAAAUAGGUUUUGUGGAAAUUGUAAAUGUUACCUUAACACUACACCAAUGUUAGUUAUUUUUUCCCAGUAUCUGAAAUUUGGGAGGAAAGAAUAAAAGACAGAAAAAUGAAAAAGAAGAGGAAGAGAAGGAAGAAGAGAGGAAGGACAUGUUUGCUUCUCCUGCCAUGGCUGGAAGUUUCCUGAGGCCUCCCCAGCCAUCCUGAACUGUGAGUCAAUUAAACCUCUUUCCUUUAUAAAUUACCUAGUCUUGGGUAUGUCUUUAUUAGCAGUGUGAGAACUAACUAAUACAGUUAAUUGGUACUGAGAGUGGAGUGCUGCUAUAAGGAUACCUGAAUGUGGAAUGCAACUUUGGAACUUAGUAACAGGCAGAGGUUGGAACAGUUUGGAGGGCUCAGAAGUAGAUGGGAAAAUGUGGGAAAAUUUGGAAUUCGUAAAGUCUUGAAGGGCUCAGAAGACAGGAAGAUGUGGGGUAGUUUGGAACUUCCUAGAGACUUGUUGAAUGGCUUUGACCAAAAUGCUGAUAGUGAUAUGGGAAAUGAAGUCCAGACUAAGGUGGUCUCAGAUGGAGAUGGGAAACUUGUUGGCAACUGGAAUAAAGGUCACUCUUGCCAUGCAAAGAGACUGAUGGCAUUUUGCCCCAUCCCAGAAAUCUGUGGAACUCUGAACUUGAGAGAGGUGAUUUAGGGUAUCUGGCAAAAGACAUUUGUAAGUGGCAAAGCAUUCAAGAGGAAGAAUAGCAUAAACGUUUGGAAAUUUGCAGCCUGACUAUUGUGAUAGAAAAGAAAACCCCAUUUUCUGGGGAGAAAUUCAAGCAAGCUGCAAAUAUUUGCAAAGGUAGCAAGAAGCCUAAUGUUAAUCACCAAGACAAUAGGGAAAAUGUCUCCAGGGCAUGUCAGACACCUUCACAGCAGCCUCUCCCAUCACAGGCCUGGAGGCCUAGGAAGGAAAAAUGGUUUCCUAGGCCAGGUCCAGGGCCUCCCUGCUGUGUGCAGCUUUGGGACUUGGUGCCUUGCAUCUCAGCUACUGUAGCUGUGGCUAAAAGGGGCCAAUGUACAUCUCAGGCAAGAGGGUGCAAGCUCCAGGCCUUGGCAGCUUCCACGUGGUGUUGAGCCUGUGGGCACACGUAAGUCAAGAAUUGAGAUUUGGGAACCUCUGCCUAGAUUUCAGAGGAUGUAUGGAAAUGCCUGGAUGUCCAGGCAGAAGUUUGCUGCAGAAGAACCUCUGCUAGGGCAGUGCUGAGGUGAAAUGCAAGGUUGGAGCCCCCACACAGAGUCUCCACUGGGGCACUGCCUAGUGGAGCUGUGAGAAGAGGGCCACUGUCCUCCAGACCCCAGAAUGGUAGAUCCACUGACAGCUUGCACCAUGCACCUGGAAAAGCUGCAGACACUCUAUGCUAGCUGGGAUGGGACUGUACUCUGCAAAGCCACAGGGGUGGAGCUGCCCAGGGCUGUGGGAGCCCACCUGUUGCAUCACUGUGACCUGUAUGUGAGAUAUGGAGUCAAAGGAGACCAUUUUGGAAUUUUAAGUUUUAAUGACUGCCCUAUUCGAUUUUGGACUGGCAUGGGGCCUAUAGCCCCUUUGUUUUGUCCAAUUUCUCCCAUUUGGAAUGGGCAUAUUUACCCAAUGUCUGUACCCCCAUUGUAUCUAGGAAGUAACUAACUUGCUUUUGAUUUUACAGGCUCAUAGGCAGAAGGGACUUGCCUUGUCUCAGAUGAGACUUUGGACUUGGACUUUUGAGACCAUACUGGAAUGAUUUAAGACUUUGGGGGACUAUUGGAAGGACAUGAUUAUUUUUUGAAUUGUGAGGACAUGAGAUUUGGGAGGGGCCAGGGGCAGAAUGAUAUGGUUUUGCCAUGUCCCCCCGCCCAAAUCUCAUCUUGAAUUAUAGUUCCCAUAAUCCCCACAUGUCAUAGGAAGUAUCUGGUAGGAGGUAAUUGAAUCAUGGGGGUGGUUCCCCCAUGCUAUUCUUGUGAUAGUGAGUUCUCAGGAGAUCUGAUGGUUUUAUAAGGGGCUUCCCCUGCACUUGGUUUUUCAUUCUUCUGUCGCCUGCUGCCAUGUGAAGAAAGAAGUGUUUGCUUCCCCUUCCAUCAUGGUUGGACGUUUCCUGAGGCCUCUCCAGUCAUGCUGAGCUAGGUACCUGGUGCCAGUUCCUGAGACUUGAGGAUUCUGGUUGGUUCUCAGCACAGGAGUCAGCCUGCUCUGAUUUGCUAGUGAUGUCCUAACCAAUCUCCCUGAAAAAUUAUCUGUGAAAUUUAUUUCUAUACAUCCAACAAGCACAAUGAACUCUAGGUAGAAUAAAUUCAGUGAGGUCCACAUCAAGAACAUUGUAAUCAAACUGUUGAAUGUCAAAGACAGAGAAUCUUGAAAGCAACAAGAAAGAAUCAACUAUCAUGUACAAGGGAACCUUAGUAAGAUGAACAGUUGGCUAUUUAUCAGGAACUAUGGAAGCCAGAAAACAGUGGGCAUAUUUAAAGUGCUGAAAGAAAAGAACCUAUCAACCAAGAAUUCUGUAUCUGGCAAAAUUGCCCUUCAAAAGUGAGGAAGAAAUUGAGAUAUUCCCAAUAAACAAAAGCUGAGGGGUUCACUACAAGUAGACCUGCCCUGCAAGAAAUGCUACAAGAUGUCCUCAAGUUGAAAUGAAAGGACACUAAAUGGUAACUUGAAGCUGUAUGAAGAAAUAAAGGUCUACAGUAAAGUGCGUCUAGAGUGUUGACAGUUGUUUCCAUGGACUUCAAAUCAACCCAACCCUGUGAGCACAGACUUUCAGCACCAGAGUCAGAUUUCCCAAAAAUGCUAUUCUUGAAGCGUAGAGCCAGACUCACAGAUCCUGUAAAGAAAACAGAUCUUUCAGCAAGUGAAACACCCAAUCUUCCAUUGCAUGGGACUCACAGAGGUUCUGAGGGAGAGAUGUGAAUAGAAGGAGUGAUCAUCACUGUGGACUCUAUUUCUUCCAUCUGUGCGUGCAAGAUUUAUAUCUGUAUGUGUUUGUUUUAAAGUUUUAUUGAGGUAUAAUUGAUACACAAUAAUCUGUACCUAUUUAAUGUAUACAAUUUGAUGAGUUUGGACAUACUUAAAUACCUGUGAAACCAUCACCACAAUCAAGGUAAUAGACAUAGCCAUCACCUCCAAAA